rnacentral:rRNA from 1 species
AUUGAACGCUGGCGGCAUGCCUUACACAUGCAAGUCGAACGGUAACAGGUUAAGCUGACGAGUGGCGAACGGGUGAGUAAUGUAUCGGAACGUGCCCAGUCGUGGGGGAUAACUGCUCGAAAGAGCAGCUAAUACCGCAUACGACCUGAGGGUGAAAGCGGGGGAUCGCAAGACCUCGCGCGAUUGGAGCGGCCGAUAUCAGAUUAGGUAGUUGGUGAGGUAAAGGCUCACCAAGCCGACGAUCUGUAGCUGGUCUGAGAGGACGACCAGCCACACUGGGACUGAGACACGGCCCAGACUCCUACGGGAGGCAGCAGUGGGGAAUUUUGGACAAUGGGCGCAAGCCUGAUCCAGCCAUGCCGCGUGCGGGAAGAAGGCCUUCGGGUUGUAAACCGCUUUUGUCAGGGAAGAAAAGGUUCUGGCUAAUACCUGGGACUCAUGACGGUACCUGAAGAAUAAGCACCGGCUAACUGCGUG